UACGAAGGGUGCAAGCGUUACUCGGAAUUACUGGGCGUAAAGCGCACGUAGGCGGCUUUGUAAGUUAGAGGUGAAAGCCCGGGGCUUCAACCCCGGAAUAGCCUUUAAGACUGCAUCGCUUGAACACGGGAGAGGUGAGUGGAAUUCCGAGUGUAGCGGUGAAAUGCGUAGAUAUCUGGAGGAACACCGGUGGCGAAGGCGGCAUCCUGGACCGAUACUGACGCUGAGGAGCGAAAGCCAGGGGAGCAAACGGG
rnacentral:rRNA from 1 species